rnacentral:tRNA from 1 species
GGCCUGAUGGUCUAGUAGUAUGAUUCCUUGUUAGGGUGGUUCUUCACUCAUCUCGAGGAGGUCCCGGGUUCAAUUCCCGGUCAGGCCC